rnacentral:ribozyme from 1 species
AUUUUACCAUUUUGAUUAUUCUUAUGACCUUGAAAGACAGAAAUAAAAUAAAGUAUUAUACAUAGUAAAUAUCAUGACUUAUUAUAAAAAUUCCUCAAGACGGGCUGU